rnacentral:rRNA from 1 species
GACGAACGCUGGCGGCGUGCUUAACACAUGCAAGUCGAACGGAAAGGCCCCUUUGGGGGUACUCGAGUGGCGAACGGGUGAGUAACACGUGAGUAACCUGCCCUUGACUUCGGGAUAACUUCAGGAAACUGGGGCUAAUACCGGAUAGGAAUCCUUGCUGCAUGGUGGGGGUUGGAAAGCUUCGGCGGUUUUGGAUGGACUCGCGGCUUAUCAGCUUGUUGGUGGGGUAGUGGCUUACCAAGGCUUUGACGGGUAGCCGGCCUGGGAGGGCGACCGGCCACAUUGGGACUGAGAUACGGCCCAGACUCCGACGGGAGGCAGCAGUGGGGAAUAUUGCACAAUGGGCGGAAGCCUGAUGCAGCAACGCCGCGUGCGGGAUGACGGCCUUCGGGUUGUAAACCGCUUUCAGCAGGGGCGAAGCUUGUGGUGACGGUACCUGCAGAAGAAGCACCGGCUAACUACGUG